UACGUAGGGGGCUAGCGUUGUCCGGAAUCAUUGGGCGUAAAGCGCGCGUAGGCGGCCCGGUAAGUCCGUUGUGAAAGUCAAAGGCUCAACCUUUGAAAGCCGAUGGAUACUGCCGGGCUAGAGUCCGGAAGAGGCGAGUGGAAUUCCUGGGUGUAGCGGUGGAAUGCGCAGAUAUCAGGAGGAACACCGAUAGCGAAGGCAGCUCGCUGGGACGGUACUGACGCUAAGGCGCGAAAGCGUGGGGAGCGAACAGGA
rnacentral:rRNA from 1 species